rnacentral:rRNA from 1 species
AACGAACGCUGGCGGCAUGCCUAACACAUGCAAGUCGAACGAGAUCCUUCGGGGCUUAGUGGCGCACGGGUGCGUAACGCGUGGGAAUCUGCCCUUAGGUUCGGAAUAACAGUUAGAAAUGACUGCUAAUACCGGAGGAUGACGUUAAGGCCAAUGAUUUAUCGCCUGAGGAUGAGCCCGCGUAGGAUUAGCUAGUUGGUGUGGUAAAGGGGCACCAAGGCGACGAUCCUUAGCUGGUCUGAGAGGAUGAUCAGCCACACUGGGACUGAGACACGGCCCAGACUCCUACGGGAGGCGGCAGUGGGUGAUAUUGGACAAUGGGCGCAAGCCUGAUCCAGCAAUGCCGCGUGAGUGAUGAAAGCCUUAGGGUUGUAAAGCUCUUUUACCCGGGAUGAUAAUGACGGUACCGAAAGAAUAAGCCCCGGCUAACUCCGUG